AACGUAGGACGCAAGCGUUAUCCGGAGUUACUGGGCGUAAAGCGCGGGCAGGCGGUCUUGCCAGUCUGAUGUGAAAUCUCCUCGCUCAACGGGGAGCAGCCAUUGGAAACUACAAGACUGGAGUCUGACAGAGGUAGGCGGAAUUCCGGGUGGAGUGGUGAAAUGCGUAGAGAUCCGGAGGAACACCAGAGGCGAAGGCGGCCUACUGGGUCAGUACUGACGCUGAGACGCGAAAGCCAGGGGAGCGAACGGG
rnacentral:rRNA from 1 species